UCUAAUACCGGAUACGACUGCGGAAGGCAUCUUCCGUGGUGGAAAGCUCCGGCGGUGAAGGAUGAGCCCGCGGCCUAUCAGCUUGUUGGUGGGGUAAUGGCCUACCAAGGCGACGACGGG
rnacentral:rRNA from 1 species